rnacentral:rRNA from 1 species
CCCUUAGAUGUCCUGGGCCGCACGCGUGCUACACUGAUGCAUACAGCGAGUACUCCCAGCUCCGAGAGGCUGCUGGUAAUCAGCAAUAUGCAUCGUGAUGGGGAUAGAUCUUUGGAAUUAUAGACCUUGAACGAGGAAUUCCUAGUAAUCGCAGGUCAUCACCCUGCGUUGACUAAGUCCCUGCCCUUUGUACACACCGCCCGUCGCUCCUACCGAUUUCGAGUGAUCCGGUGAAUCAUUCGGACCGCGGCCCCUAGGCAUGCGGAAAGUCUAGUAAACCAUAUCACUUAGAGGAAGGAGAAGUCGUAACA